GACGAACGCUGGCGGCGUGCUUAACACAUGCAAGUCGAACGAAGAGCGAUGGAUGCUUGCUUCUAUCCAUCUUAGUGGCGAACAGGUGAGUAACGCGUAAUCAACCUUCCCUUCAGAGGGGGACAACAGUUGGAAACGACUGCUCAUACCGCAUACGAUCGAACCACGGCAUCGGGGGGGGAGGAAAGGUGGCCUCUAUUUAUAAGCUAUCACUUAAGCUGGUGAUUGCGGUUGAUGAUCUAGUGGGAGUGGUAGCGUCGCACCAAGGCGAGGAUCAGUAGCAGGUCUGCGAGGAUGAACAGCCGCAUUGGGACGGAGACACGGCCCAGACGCCUACGGGAGGCAGCAGUGGUGAACCUUCCGCCAUGGACGAAAGUCUGACGGCGCAACGCCGCGGGAGGGAUGACGGCCGUCGGGUUGUAAAGCUCUGUUAAUCGGGACGAAAGGCCUUCUUGCUAAUAGUAAGAAGGAUUGACGGUAACGGAAAAGAAAGCCACGGCUAACUACGUG
rnacentral:rRNA from 1 species